rnacentral:rRNA from 1 species
AUGGCAUGCCUUGCUCCGCCAGCGUCCUUCGCUCCCUUUUGCAGGGGCCCCUUUGCAUCUCCGGCCAACUUGUAUCGGCCGCCCGCCUCCAUCGCCUCCUUGUCUCCUUCGUCUCCCCCUUUCUACCCCAGCCGUGUCAUGGUUAGGUGGGAAGCUCCCCCGGCGGGCUGGCUGAAGCUAAACUUCGACGGGUCUGUGUACAACGACGGGUCCGGCCGGGCUAGCAUCGGCGGCGCCAUCCGCGACUGCAACGGCCGCGUUCUUGUCGCCUUUGCCGAGCCGACGGAGCACUCGACCGUGGGCAUAGUGGAGGCCAGGGCGCUCAUCCGCGGGCUGCGCCCCGCGCUGAGUCGCUUCCGCGGCAGGCUGGUGGCGGAAGGAGACGACCUGAUGCUGGUGGAGCUCCUCACCGGCGAGGAGACGCAGACGCGCGUACCUCAGGCCAUGCAAGACGAGAUUCUCAUGCUGCUUGGGUGCUUCGCGGCGUACAAGGUCCAGCACAUCUUCCGCGAGGGCAAUCAGGUC